GACGAACGCUGGCGGCGUGCCUAAUACAUGCAAGUCGAGCGAAGCGGCGGAUGGGUGGGUAACGCGUGGGUAACCUGCACUUAAGUUUGGGAUACCAUCUGGAAACAGAUGCUAAUAACGGAUACUAAAGUAUGGACCUGCGAUGCAUUAGCUAGUUGGUAAGGUAACGGCUUACCAAGGCGAUGAUGCAUAGCCGGGUUGAGAGAAUGAUCAGCCACAUUGGGACUGAGACACGGCCCAAACUCCUACGUGAGGCAGCAGUAGGGAAUCUUCCACAAUGGGCGAAAGUCUGAUGGAGCAACGCCGCGUGAGUGAAGAAGGUUUUCGGGUCGUAAAGCUCUGUUGUUGGUGAAGCGGUAAUCAACCAGAAAGUCACGGCUAACUACGUGCCAGCAGCCGCGGUAAUAC
rnacentral:rRNA from 1 species